rnacentral:rRNA from 1 species
CCUACGGGAGGCAGCAGUGGGGAAUAUUGGACAAUGGGGGCAACCCUGAUCCAGCCAUGCCGCGUGUGUGAAGAAGGCCUUUUGGUUGUAAAGCACUUUAAGCGAGGAGGAGGGCACUUUGGCUAAUACCCGAAUGUGUCGGACGUUACUCGCAGAAUAAGCACCGGCUAACUCUGUGCCAGCAGCCGCGGUAAUACAGAGGGUGCGAGCGUUAAUCGGAAUUACUGGGCGUAAAGCGCGCGUAGGCGGUUAUGUAAGUUGGAUGUGAAAUCCCCGGGCUUAACCUGGGCACUGCAUUCAAAACUGCAUAGCUAGAGUAUGGGAGAGGAUGGUAGAAUUCCAGGUGUAGCGGUGAAAUGCGUAGAGAUCUGGAGGAAUACCGAUGGCGAAGGCAGCCAUCUGGCCUAAUACUGACGCUGAGGUGCGAAAGCAUGGGGAGCAAACAGGAUUAGAUACCCCAGUAGUC